rnacentral:rRNA from 1 species
GCUAUACCACUUUGUCAAUGGCGGAUUGUGUCUGAUCUCAGAAGCUAAGCAGGGUUGGGUCUAGUUAGUAUUUGGCGAGACCACUGGAAUACCAGGUGC